rnacentral:rRNA from 1 species
UACGAAGGGGGCUAGCGUUGUUCGGAAUUACUGGGCGUAAAGGGCUCGUAGGCGGCCAACUAAGUCAGACGUGAAAUCCCUCAGCUUAACUGGGGAACUGCGUCUGAUACUGGAUGGCUUGGAUUCGGGAGAGGAAUGCGGAAUUCCAGGUGUAGCGGUGAAAUGCGUAGAUAUCUGGAGGAACACCGGUGGCGAAGGCGGCAUUCUGGACCGAUAUUGACGCUGAGGAGCGAAAGCCAGGGGAGCAAAGCGGG